rnacentral:rRNA from 1 species
GCGGAUGGAGCUGAAGCCAGUCGCAGAUACCAGCUGGCUGCAACUGUUUAUUAAAAACACAGCACUGUGCAAACACGAAAGUGGACGUAUACGGUGUGACGCCUGCCCGGUGCUGGAAGGUUAAUUGAUGGGGUUAUCCGUAAGGAGAAGCUCUUGAUCGAAGCCCCAGUAAACGGCGGCCGUAACUAUAACGGUCCUAAGGUAGCGAAAUUCCUUGUCGGGUAAGUUCCGACCUGCACGAAUGGCGUAAUGAUGGCCAGGCUGUCUCCACCCGAGACUCAGUGAAAUUGAACUCGCUGUGAAGAUGCAGUGUACCCGCGGCAAGACGGAAAGACCCCGUGAACCUUUACUAUAGCUUGACACUGAACAUUGAGCCUUGAUGUGUAGGAUAGGUGGGAGGCUUCGAAGCGUGGACGCCAGUCUGCGUGGAGCCAACCUUGAAAUACCACCCUUUAAUGUUUGAUGUUCUAACGUUGCCCCGUUAUCCGGGGUGCGGACAGUGUCUGGUGGGUAGUUUGACUGGGGCGGUCUCCUCCCAAAGAGUAACGGAGGAGCACGAAGGUUGGCUAAGCAUGGUCGGACAUCAUGCGGUUAGUGCAAAGGCAUAAGCCAGCUUGACUGCGAGAGUGACGGCUCGAGCAGGUACGAAAGUAGGUCUUAGUGAUCCGGUGGUUCUGAAUGGAAGGGCCAUCGCUCAACGGAUAAAAGGUACUCCGGGGAUAACAGGCUGAUACCGCCCAAGAGUUCAUAUCGACGGCGGUGUUUGGCACCUCGAUGUCGGCUCAUCACAUCCUGGGGCUGAAGUAGGUCCCAAGGGUACGGCUGUUCGCCGUUUAAAGUGGUACGCGAGCUGGGUUUAGAACGUCGUGAGACAGUUCGGUCCCUAUCUGCCGUGGGCGUUGGAAGAUUGAAAGGGGCUGCUCCUAGUACGAGAGGACCGGAGUGGACGCACCACUGGUGUUCGGGUUGUCAUGCCAAUGGCAUUGCCCGGUAGCUAAGUGCGGAAGAGAUAACCGCUGAAAGCAUCUAAGCGGGAAACUUGCCUUGAGAUGAGUCUUCCCUGACCCUUUAAGGGUCCUAAAGGAACGUUUAAGACUAAGACGUUGAUAGGUUGGGUGUGUAAGCAUAGCGAUAUGUUGAGCUAACCAAUACUAAUGAACCGUGAGGCUUAACCUG